UGGGGAAUAUUGCACAAUGGGGGAAACCCUGAUGCAGCGACGCCGCGUGAGCGAAGAAGGUUUUCGAAUCGUAAAGCUCUGUCCUAUGGGAAGAUAAUGACGGUACCAUAGGAGGAAGCCCCGGCUAACUACGUGCCAGCAGCCGCGGUAAUACGUAGGGGGCAAGCGUUGUCCGGAAUCACUGGGCGUAAAGGGUUCGCAGGCGGAAAUGCAAGUCAGUUGUGAAAGGAAGAGGCUCAACCUCUGUAAGCAAUUGAAACUGUAUUUCUUGAGAUGUGGAGAGGCAAGUGGAAUUCCUAGUGUAGCGGUGAAAUGCGUAGAUAUUAGGAAGAAUACCGGUGGCGAAGGCUACUUGCUGGACACAAACUGACGCUGAGGAACGAAAGCGUGGGUAGCAAACAGG
rnacentral:rRNA from 1 species